rnacentral:lncRNA from 1 species
GCUGGAUCUCAACCUGUCCGGCGCCCUUUGCGGUCUUGAUGAUGGCUCUGGAUCGAAGUGUUUUAACUGUUCCAUUGCAUUAUAUAUAUAUAUAAUAGUCCUUUUUUUUUUCAUUAUUUUCUUAUAUUUAUCAUUGAAAAUUGUAUCAUUAAAAAAAUACUACAAUAUAAAUAAUGGUCAUAUUUUUAUUUAUAAUUUGAAUAAAUU